rnacentral:rRNA from 1 species
GUGCCAGCAGCCGCGGUAAGACGAACCUUGCUAACGUUAUUCGGAAUUACUGGGCUUAAAGGGUGCGUAGGCGGUGCAGAAAGUUGGGUGUGAAAUCCCUCGGCUCAACCGAGGAAUUGCGCCCAAAACUGUUGCACUAGAGGAAGACAGAGGUACGCGGAACUUAGGGUGGAGCGGUGAAAUGCGUUGAUAUCCUAAGGAACACCGGUGGCGAAAGCGGCGUACUGGGUCUUAUCUGACGCUGAGGCACGAAAGCUAGGGGAGCGAACGGGAUUAGAUACCCGCGUAGUCC